rnacentral:lncRNA from 1 species
GCCCGGGCGAGAGCACGUGAGGGCGUGGAGCUGGGAGUGAGGACCUGUUCACCUGCUCCCCGCGCCGCCGGAGGACACUCGGGCCGGCCGCGUCGCUGAGCCCUGUCGCGCUGACCAGUUUCUGGCUCCCAGUCCCCGUCAGUUUCACGUCCGCUCCGGGUCUGCGCUUUCAGAUUCCCCUUGGAGGUCUGCAGGUCUAUUCUCCCUCCUGCCCUGCUGCCGGGUCACCUCCCCACCGCCCCAGACACCCUGCACUCCAGCUAGUCCCGGCCGCGCCCCCUUGGCCGCACUGUCGCCUUCGAUCCGGCCUCAGCCGCGGAUCUCGGCAGGCAGACCGGUCGACCGCAAGGAGGACAGCAGGGAGCGGUCCCCCCCAGCGCGCGCCCCGCCUCCCCACGCCCAGCCCCGCACCUCCCCACCUUGCGCGCCCAGCCCAAGCUCCGCUUUCCUUCCGGGGAAAGAGAAAAGGUCCCGGCUCCGCCACCGCCUCUUAAAGGGGCAGCAGCGCCCCUCCCUCCUCAUCCUCCCUAAACCGACUCCGCCCUCUCCCCCAAACACCUGUCGGGAGCCCCCAAAAGCUUGUAUUUCCUCUCCCCGCCCCUUGCUCCUCCGGAGAAGCGUUGCCUAUCGAGCAAGAUGGAUUGGACGGGCGGGGCCGUGGGUGGGAUUUGUCUGGCCGCUUUGCUGCGGCUGCUACUGCUGCUGGAAAGGCCAUUACAGGCGCGGCCACUUCUGCCGGCCCGGCCCGAGAGCCCCGGCGUUGUCGCAUGUGGCUGGGAACGACACUCGCGCACCGCUGGCUGGAAUGCCCGACUCGCCUCUGCCACGCUGGCCCAGCCCAGCAGAAUUCCAAAGGUCCUCUCCUCCCACCCAGGCUCACACUGAGUGUUUGAAGACUGGGCGGGGACGUCAGCCCCCACAGGCUAAAGGAGCUUUCUUAUUUGGGUCCAGGAAUUCAGCCCUCAGCGUUCACUCCCUUGAAGUUCCGUUUAGAGCCCCUACUCUGAAAGCUUAUAAGAAGAAGAAAACUACCGUUUAG